CAAUGGUGUAAUUUCAAGAAAGUGAUAGUUUCCCUUUAAGCGUCACGGCAUGACAAAGUCUUAGACGUUGGAAGAUGGCGGACCUUGAGGAUGAUUGAAACUAGGAAAUGCUGAUAAGAGAAAGAAACUGGGGCCAGUAUUCUCAAAAAUCUGGCAGUCAUUCUGUUGUUCUCUGGUGGACUUUUUUGUAUGCAUUUUUACCAAAU